UCCCAUGAGGGCGACAAGGUCACCGGGAUAUGCUGAACCAGUAAUCCCAUUCAAGAUCGUUUUCUCAGAUGAUUUCAUUCCUUUGGUUACCUUAACAAUGCCAAGAUAGCCAUACCCUUUGGUCCAUUGUGAAGCUCUGCUUCACAUGUUGCUGAUAACAGUAUAUUGUUGAGCCUCCUAAGCUUGACUCGGUGCACCAACUUAGACCAACAGAGAAGCAAACAAGGUUUCCAAUGUCUAUGAAGAUUUAUGAUGCGUCUUAAUGCAAUGACGAAGAUAUUCUAUUGAGAUAAAGACAAGACCCGUGUACAAGACUGAACCUGGACUAACCAAAUGCCAGCCAAAAAAAUAUUAUUUCUAUGGAUUUCGUGUUGAUCGUUUAGAUACAUCUCCAUCCGUGCCUGCGCCCAAACAGAGAGUAUCAGAAGACCAAUCUAGGCAACUGCUGAUGUGAACGUGCCCCUGUUCAAAUGUGAUGGCAUGAAGGUAAUGUAGCAGAAAUGUUCAUGUCAGAAAGGGGUUUACCUUCAGAUAUAUUGGUAAGGUUGGUUCUGUCUGAAACUUUAGCUCGUCGUGUCCUGCUUCAACAUCUUCCGCUGCACAUGCAUAAUAAUCAAGGGAGCCUUGGCACACCGGUUAAGGUGUUACCAUUGUGAUAUUGAGGUAACGGGUUCGAGUCCUGGAAGCAGCCUCUUGCAGAUAUUUCUGCAAGGUAAGGUUUGCCUACAAUACACCUUUGUGGUGGGACCCUUCCCCCGACCCCCGCUCAACGGGGACGCUUUGUGCACCGGGCUGCCCUUUUUUAAGUUUCUGUUCAUGAGGUGGCAUGGUGAACCCAGUGAAGGAGAAGGAAAGUCCAAGAGAGGCACUCGAGGCUCGACUCAGAGCAGCACCAUCAAGAGCCGGCUGAGCGC